GUCGAGCGAAGCGCAUAAGUUUGACUCUUCGGAUGAAAAUUUUUGUGACUGAGCGGCGGACGGGUGAGUAACGCGUGGGUAACCUGCCUUACACAGGGGGAUAACAGUUAGAAAUGACUGCUAAUACCGCAUAAGACCCCGGUACCGCAUGGUACAGAGGUAAAAACUGAGGUGGUGUAAGAUGGACCCGCGUCUGAUUAGGUAGUUGGUGAGGUAACGGCUCACCAAGCCGACGAUCAGUAGCCGGCCUGAGAGGGUGGACGGCCACAUUGGGACUGAGACACGGCCCAGACUCCUACGGGAGGCAGCAGUGGGGAAUAUUGCACAAUGGGGGAAACCCUGAUGCAGCGACGCCGCGUGAGCGAUGAAGUAUUUCGGUAUGUAAAGCUCUAUCAGCAGGGAAGAAAAUGACGGUACCUGACUAAGAAGCCCCGGCUAACUACGUGCCAGCAGCCGCGGUAAUACGUAGGGGGCAAGCGUUAUCCGGAUUUACUGGGUGUAAAGGGAGCGUAGACGGCAUGGCAAGCCAGAUGUGAAAUACCGGGGCUCAACCCCGGGACUGCAUUUGGAACUGUUAAGCUGGAGUGUCGGAGAGGCAGGCGGAAUUCCUAGUGUAGCGGUGAAAUGCGUAGAUAUUAGGAGGAACACCAGUGGCGAAGGCGGCCUGCUGGACGAUAACUGACGUUGAGGCUCGAAAGCGUGNGGAGCAAACAGGAUUAGAUACCCUGGNAGUCCACGCCGUAAACGAUGACUACUAGGUGUCGGGGAGCAAAGCUGCCCGGUGCCGCAGCCAACGCAAUAAGUAG
rnacentral:rRNA from 1 species